UAGCCUUUAAUGAUGAUAUAAAAUACAAUUUUAGACGUUAGACUUCUGAUUCUCAAGGAAGAAAACGUAUAGAUAUCUGAUCAAUGUGCUA